GGCCAGCCCCCAGAAGUGGACUUUUGAAGUGAAGAGAUUAAGGGACCAGGAAAUUAAGAGAAUGGGAGAAGUGAGAGAUCACAGGGGUUAAGCUGAGUCUAAGAAAAUAGAGAGUCUGGGGAUGGAAAUGUUGUAACAUCUACGAAUCAAUCUCUUUAUCUACUUAGCAGCAGCAGCAGCCAAAGGUGCUCAGUGGCUGAAAUGCAACCAACUGACUGGACUUAAAAGUGACCGUUGGAGCUGCCCUGCAAUGAGCGUGUCUCUGUGACUUAGACUAAGAAACUUAUCAAGUAACAUCAUUAUGACUGGUGAGCAGUAUCCACUCCCCUCGGCUGAUCCAUCCUAUUCAUUGAACAAUUUAGAGUUCUGAUUAACGGUCCUUACUUAAUGUAAGUCUCUGAAAGUGGAAUUGAUUGGGAGAACGUUUCUUAAAUUUUUCUUUGAGAGCCUCUGAGUAAGAGACAUUUCUGUAGAUGAAGAACAAUUGUCUUCACUGUCAACAUAGAGAAUGGAUACUCGAAAUAUUCAACAAGAAGCCGUCUAUCUGCUUCACACAAGGGUUUUCAAGCCACGUUAUGAUUCAACCCUCCAACCCCCAUCACCGUUCUGAGAAGAAAGUAAAAUAAACGAAAUAGGAAAUGUUUUGGAUCAAAAACAAGUAGACAGUUGUAACUGGAUAUUCCCACCCGCGACAACUCCAUACUCGAGAAAGAUCUUUGAUUACAAUAUAUAGUGGCAUCCUUAUCAGCAAUAAUUUUAAAGAAUUCUUCUCCUUUGUGAAGCUAAUUAGGGAUAUUUAUUAGAUUCAACAAUAGGCCCUUUUCACAUUGAAGGGGUGUAAUUCAGAAGGGAAGACAGUGAAGAAGAGGAACUACCACAAUUCUUUAUAAAAGGGGCCGCGAGAGGCAGUGGAUUCAGGCAUUCAGAGUUCCAGAGGAAAAUUAGGACCUUCAGGACUUUUAUUUCCAAAGGAAGAACAGAGCUGCGAGAAAUCCAGGCUUCCAUAAACCCUCCCUCUCGUAGGCAGUUAAAACCCUGCAGCGAGGUAAGUAAAGAAACAGUGCAAUGUCUUAGACUGCUUUUGUGGUUCAUUUUUAAAAUACUGAGUUUAGUCGUAAAUAAUAAAAAUAAACAGAAAGGUAUUGAGGCUCAGGUUCCCGCAGCCCUGAAAGGUGGCUGUUUGUUGGAGCCAAGAAGACGAGACUUCUAAAGCUGGACUUGAGGAGGCCAGAAGGAGCAGCUCCAGGAUGAACCCAGCCAUGGCGCAGAGCCGAACUGAAUGACAGUCCCCUCAUCGCCCACUCUCCCCUAGGCCUCCAUG
rnacentral:lncRNA from 1 species